rnacentral:rRNA from 1 species
AUUGAACGCUGGCGGCAUGCCUUACACAUGCAAGUCGAACGGUAACGGGCCUUCGGGUGCCGACGAGUGGCGAACGCGUGCGUAAUACAUCGGAACGUGCCCGAUCGUGGGGGAUAACGAGGCGAAAGCUUUGCUAAUACCGCAUACGAUCUACGGAUGAAAGCAGGGGACCGCAAGGCCUUGCGCGGACGGAGCGGCCGAUGGCAGAUUAGGUAGUUGGUGGGAUAAAAGCUUACCAAGCCGACGAUCUGUAGCUGGUCUGAGAGGAUGAUCAGCCACACUGGGACUGAGACACGGCCCAGACUCCUACGGGAGGCAGCAGUGGGGAAUUUUGGACAAUGGGCGCAAGCCUGAUCCAGCCAUGCCGCGUGCAGGAUGAAGGCCUUCGGGUUGUAAACUGCUUUUGUACGGAACGAAAAGCCUUCUUUUAAUACAGGAGGGUCAUGACGGUACCGUAAGAAUAAGCACCGGCUAACUACGUG